rnacentral:rRNA from 1 species
AUUGCACGCUGGCGGCAGGCCUAACACAUGCAAGUCGAGCGGAGCGGCGGACGGGAGAGUAAUGCCUAGGAAUCUGCCUGGUAGUGGGGGAUAACGUCAGGAAACGGGCGCUAAUAACGCCUACUAUCAGAUUAGCCAAGGUCGGAGUAGCUAGUGGGUGGGGGAAAGGCCUACCAAGGCGACGAUCCGUAACUGGUCUGAGAGGAUGAUCAGUCACACUGGAACUGAGACACGGUCCAGAAUCCUACGGGAGGCAGCAGUGGGGAAUAUUGGACAAUGGGCGAAAGCCUGAUUCAGCCAUGCCGCGUGUGUGAAGAAGGUCUUCGGAUUGUAAAGCACUUUAAGUUGUGAGGCGUUACCAACAGAAUAAGCACCGGCUAACUUCGUGCCAGCAGCCGCGGUAAUUC